ensembl:lncRNA novel transcript
AGGACAAGAAUGAGGAAGAGAUUUGACCCAGAAUAAAGAAGCAGAAGGUGCAGCUUCACACCAUGCGACGCAGGCCCCACAGCCACGUUCCUCUCAAGGCUCAAAAUCAGGGCCAUGUGCCAAGCUGUACAGAACUGACGGGGCAUAGGCCGAACCUGGAGCCACAUGAAGGAAGUGACGUGGUGACCUUGGUCAGGCUACACAGCUGCAUUGUCCGUUAAUGGGAUUCUGACAAGAAUGAGGAAGAGAUUUGACCCAGAAUCAAAGAAGUUGCAGCUUCACACCUUGUGACUCAAGCCACACGGCCACAUUCCUCUCAAGGUGCAAAAUGAUCUCAACUUACAACAGCUUCACAUCUGAAUUAUUUCAUUUCACAGGGACUUUAUACCAAGGUUCUCCACGUUGCACAAAGAUCACUACACCUUCCAAAACCCUGCUCAGGACGUCUUAGUCAUGCAUUCACAAUGGGAACUGGAAGUAAAAAGCAUUGAGACUGUUCCACUGACAAUUGUUUUACUUCUUUUUUAUCUUCAUUAGCAGGCAUCAGGCAACUUUAACCAACCUUCUAGGCAGUUGUCAGUGAUCAUUGUCAUAUUAAAGUGCAUGUUAUAGAUUAUAAAUUACUUUCAUGUUAUUUUUCCUUUAUCUUACACUUACUUACAGCAUUAUGUUGAUUUUUAAACUAUAUGGAAAGGGAAGUUACAUGAGCUAUAAAUUCCCCAUUACAUGGUCAAGCCGCAUUACAAAAGACUUGCUAUAUUA